AUUACCGAAGCUGUGGAUUGUCCUUUGGACAAUGGUAGGAGAGCGUUCUAAGGGCGUUGAAGCAUGAUCGUAAGGACAUGUGGAGCGCUUAGAAGUGAGAAUGCCGGUGUGAGUAGCGAAAGACGGGUGAGAAUCCCGUCCACCGAUUGACUAAGGUUUCCAGAGGAAGGCUCGUCCGCUCUGGGUUAGUCGGGUCCUAAGCUGAGGCCGACAGGCGUAGGCGAUGGAUAACAGGUUGAUAUUCCUGUACCACCUAUAAUCGUUUUAAUCGAUGGGGGGACGCAGUAGGAUAGGCGAAGCGUGCGAUUGGAUUGCACGUCUAAGCAGUAAGGCUGAGUAUUAGGCAAAUCCGGUACUCAUUAAGGCUGAGCUGUGAUGGGGAGAAGACAUUGUGUCUUCGAGUCGUUGAUUUCACACUGCCGAGAAAAGCCUCUAGAUAGAAAAUAGGUGCCCGUACCGCAAACCGACACAGGUAGUCAAGAUGAGAAUUCUAAGGUGAGCGAGCGAACUCUCGUUAAGGAACUCGGCAAAAUGACCCCGUAACUUCGGGAGAAGGGGUGCUCUUUAGGGUUAACGCCCAGAAGAGCCGCAGUGAAUAGGCCCAAGCGACUGUUUAUCAAAAACACAGGUCUCUGCUAAACCGUAAGGUGAUGUAUAGGGGCUGACGCCUGCCCGGUGCUGGAAGGUUAAGAGGAGUGGUUAGCUUCUGCGAAGCUACGAAUCGAAGCCCCAGUAAACGGCGGCCGUAACUAUAACGGUCCUAAGGUAGCGAAAUUCCUUGUCGGGUAAGUUCCGACCCGCACGAAAGGCGUAACGAUUUGGGCACUGUCUCAACGAGAGACUCGGUGAAAUCAUAGUACCUGUGAAGAUGCAGGUUACCCGCGACAGGACGGAAAGACCCCGUGGAGCUUUACUGUAGCCUGAUAUUGAAAUUCGGCACAGCUUGUACAGGAUAGGUAGGAGCCUUUGAAACGUGAGCGCUAGCUUACGUGGAGGCGCUGGUGGGAUACUACCCUAGCUGUGUUGGCUUUCUAACCCGCACCACUUAUCGUGGUGGGAGACAGUGUCAGGCGGGCAGUUUGACUGGGGCGGUCGCCUCCUAAAAGGUAACGGAGGCGCUCAAAGGUUCCCUCAGAAUGGUUGGAAAUCAUUCAUAGAGUGUAAAGGCAUAAGGGAGCUUGACUGCGAGACCUACAAGUCGAGCAGGGUCGAAAGACGGACUUAGUGAUCCGGUGGUUCCGCAUGGAAGGGCCAUCGCUCAACGGAUAAAAGCUACCCCGGGGAUAACAGGCUUAUCUCCCCCAAGAGUUCACAUCGACGGGGAGGUUUGGCACCUCGAUGUCGGCUCAUCGCAUCCUGGGGCUGUAGUCGGUCCCAAGGGUUGGGCUGUUCGCCCAUUAAAGCGGUACGCGAGCUGGGUUCAGAACGUCGUGAGACAGUUCGGUCCCUAUCCGUCGUGGGCGUAGGAAAUUUGAGAGGAGCUGUCCUUAGUACGAGAGGACCGGGAUGGACAUACCUCUGGUGUACCAGUUGUCGUGCCAACGGCAUAGCUGGGUAGCUAUGUGUGGACGGGAUAAGUGCUGAAAGCAUCUAAGCAUGAAGCCCCCCUCAAGAUGAGAUUUCCCAACUUCGGUUAUAAGAUCCCUCAAAGAUGAUGAGGUUAAUAGGUUCGAGGUGGAAGCAUGGUGACAUGUGGAGCUGACGAAUACUAA
rnacentral:rRNA from 1 species